rnacentral:tRNA from 1 species
GGAGAUUUAGCUUAGCGGCAUAAGCGCCUGCCUUGCAAGCAGGCAGUCGUGAGUUUGAUCACCG